rnacentral:rRNA from 1 species
UACGGAGGGGGCUAGCGUUGUUCGGAAUUACUGGGCGUAAAGCGCACGUAGGCGGCUUUGUAAGUUAGAGGUGAAAGCCCGGAGCUCAACUCCGGAAUUGCCUUUAAGACUGCAUCGCUAGAAUUGUGGAGAGGUAAGUGGAAUUCCGAGUGUAGAGGUGAAAUUCGUAGAUAUUCGGAGGAACACCAGUGGCGAAGGCGGCUCACUGGCUCGGUACUGACGCUGAGGUGGCGAAAGCGUGGGGAGCAAACAGG